rnacentral:rRNA from 1 species
UUCCUACGGGGCGCAGCAGUGGGGAAUAUUGCGCAAUGGGGGCAACCCUUACGCAGCAACGCCGCGUGCAGGAAGAAGGUCUUCGGAUUGUAAACUGUUGUCGCAGGGGAAGAAGACAGUGACGGUACCCUGUGAGAAAGUCACGGCUAACUACGUGACAGCAGCCGCGGUAAUACGUAGGUGACAAGCGUUGUCCGGAUUUACUGGGUGUAAAGGGCGCGUAGGCGGGAUAGUAAGUCAGUCGUGAAAUGCCGAGGCUUAACCUGGGAGCUGCGAUUGAAACCGUUAUUCUUGGGUAUCGGCGG